rnacentral:tRNA from 1 species
GGCAGGGUGGUCUAGUGGAAAAAGCACCGGUCUGGGAAUCAAAGGACCUGGGUUCUAAUUCCAGUUCUGCCA